UUCAGAUAGAUUUGCUGAUAUCGUAUGAUAUCAAUGAAAAUGAAAAUGGUAAACACAGAUUAGUAAUAAAACGUUACCGCUCCGGAUUUGCCAUUAAGGAUUGCGUGGAAUACCAAUAUGAGAACCUUUUCAAUGGUGAUACUGAAAAGGGUCAAGUCGUCAACGAUCUCCUCAAUGAGAACUGGGUGACAAUAACGAACUUGUUCGGAAGAGAUUUUUUCUCUAAGAUAGUUGAUAAAGUUUUCAACGCAAUAAAAACAUUUGGUCAUUCAAAUUAUUUCGAAGAUAUAUUUUUGUAUCGAUAAUUUUUUUUUUUUUUUGAUUGACUUAUGAAUAACAUACUUGUUAAAUUUAAUGCGAUUAUAAUAUUAAAAAAAAAAUUUGUUAGAUGUGAUCAAUAUAUCUGUGUGACCAUGAAUUUCACUGACCAUAAUAUCGCUAUAGCUAUAAGUUUCUUACUUCUUCUUUCAUUUUUCUUUCUUUGUCAACUUUUGUUUCUUAAGUCUGCUUAGCAAUCGAUUAGAUUUACUAGCGAACAAAUUAUAAUAAUGUUAUUCAUCAAAUAAAAUAACAAUUUUUUUAAAUUAAAA